rnacentral:rRNA from 1 species
AUUAGAUACCCCUAUUCAUGACAUAAAUAAAAGUUGAAUAUUACGAACAAUAGUUUAAAAUUCAAAGAUUUUGGCGGUGUCUUAUAAAACCAGGGGAACCUGUCUCAUAACUCGAUAAUCCACGCACACCUGACCUUCUCUCGACAAUUCAGCAUGUGUACUGCCGUUGUAAGCAUACCUUUAAAAGAAUAGUAUGCUACUAUGAUUAUAAUUAACUCAUAUACAUCAGGUCAAAGUGCAGCUAAUGAGGAGGAGAUGAUGGGUUACAACCAUAAAAAAGACUAUCAACUAAAAAAUAAAAAUUUAUUACGAAAGUGGACUUGGCUGUAAUUAACUUCAGUUAAAACAAAUGAAUAAUCUCUAAGACAUGUACACAUCGCCCGUCACUCUAUCCUAAAGGUUAGAUAAGUCGUAAC